GCGGCCGCAGCUGCACCUUUGCCUCCGUGGUUCCGCAGCCCAGCCCCGGGAGGACGCGCUGCCCUGCGUCGUCCGCACUUGCGCCCUUUCCCACCGCAACAGGUCAGGGGAGGGCGGAGGUGACGAGGGCGCCCGACCCGGGACUAGAGGACGGAAGGGUCUGGAAGAUGAACAGACUAGCCACUUUGCAUUGACUGGAAACAAUGGCAUUUACGGAAAGAGUCAACAGCAGUGGCAACAGAUACUUAUUGAAGAUCUGCUGUCAUAUGAUGCAUUAAAAUCUGAUAGAUCAAAGACGACCUAUGGGAGAGAAUACGAGAAUAGAAAAAUGGGAGUCCCUGUUCUGUUUAACCUGGCAGAUAAGCACACAGCCAGAUUGUGAAACAGUGUGAUAAAUGCUCUAGCAGAAGAGCAAAUAAAGUGUUAAAGGAUCAUAGAAAACAGCAAAGUGUCACGGAUGAAAUCUUUCUAAUGAGAACC
rnacentral:sRNA from 1 species